rnacentral:lncRNA from 10 species
AGUCUGGGACAGCACCAACUGGAGGAUGGAUCAGCUUCUUCCCAGUGGGCACCACCCUCCCUUGUGAUCCUACCCCCAGCGCUUGCCUUCCCAUAGUCCUCCCUUCGCCCACCCCAGGAAGGGACUUACCUGCCGCUGCAGUGAGCCGCUGUGAGGACCCACCUGUGGUCAAUAAGGACACCCCCGCAGCGCAGGCUGGUGCCCUCAAACAGCCCCACCUGCCACGGCUGUGAGUUACGCCCACACUCAGUGCCAUUGAAAAUCUUCGGUGUGGCUGCCUGGCUGAGCCCUGGAGACAGACAGGGGCAUGGGUCAGAGAGAGGAAGAAAAGAUACAGAGAUGGAGAGACACACAGAGUGAGAGAGAGAAACAGGCAGGAGAGAGAGAGGAGAAAGAGAGACGAGAAAGAGAGAGAAAGAGAGAGAGACCCAGUGAUAGAAAAAGACCAUGAAACAUCAAAGACACCCAGGGAGAAAGAUGCUUAC